rnacentral:rRNA from 1 species
AUGGUACUAGGUGUUGUCCGUGCUGCAUUUGAUGGCCAUGGUCAAAAGCCAACUCUUCCUCCUCCGGGAUCGAUUUCAUUUCCAGCUUGCUCUGCCACGGAUGGAUCUUCAGUCAUCCAUGCCGUUCGUGUUGUGCUCCCGUCGCCGGCCGUGUGUGAGUGGUGUGACCUGCACACUCUAUUGGCGGAGAAAGCAGGCAGUUGCAGGCAGAGGAAGCAGCUUGCUACUUGCAGAGGAAGAUUAGGAUUGCAUAGCACGAUUAGAAUGGCUCAUUUUAUGGUUUUGGUCUGGAUCGGUAAACCGUGA